AAAACGGCCCUUUUCAGGGCCACCAUUCAAGUUUAGUAAAAGAUUU
rfam:Anopheles dirus strain WRAIR2 unplaced genomic scaffold supercont1.17, whole genome shotgun sequence.